rnacentral:lncRNA from 1 species
AGUGAUGCAUAAUAAUUUACUUCUUAACUCUUUGAUUCUACUACUUCUCACAUUCUCUUUUUGCUCUUGUUCUUCUGAUACCAUAUCUAUUGACAAAACCUUAAGAGAUGGUGAACUUCUUGUUUCUAAAUCUAAAACAUUUGCUCUUGGAUUCUUCACUCCAGGAAAGUCCACCUCUCGCUAUGUUGGAAUCUGGUACAACAAUUUGCCGAUCCAAACUGUUGUUUGGGUUGCAAAUAGAGAUGCUCCCAUCAAUGACACUUCUGGAAUUCUAUCAAUCAACCAAAAUGGGAAUCUAGAACUCCACCACAACCUUAGCACCAUUCCAAUUUGGUCCACUAAUGUUUCAUUAACACUAUCACAAAGAAAUAUCACUAGUGCUGUUAUAGCAAAAUUAACAGACAAAGCAAACAUUGUUCUGAUGAUAAACAACACAAAAACUGUCAUUUGGGAAAGCUUUGAUCAUCCCACAGACACCUUCCUUCCAUAUCAAAGGUUUGGUUUUGAUAGAAAAACUAAUCAAAGUUGGCCCCUUCAAUCCUGGAAGACAGAAGAUGACCCUGGAAAAGGUGCAUUCACGGUGAAAUUCAGCAGCAUAGGUAUACCUCAGUUGUUUAUGUACAACCAUAACCUUCCAUGGUGGCGUGGUGGACAUUGGAACGGAGCACUAUUUGUAGGUAUACCUAAUAUGAAACGAGAUUUGCAAACUUUUAAUGCUUCUUUUGUGGAAGAAGAUAACUAUGUAGCACUUUCAUACGACAUGUUUGAUAAGUCUGUCAUAGCUAGGUUAGUUGUUCAGCAAUCUGGUUUCAUUCAAAUAUUCACUUGGAACAAUCAAAAGAGUCAAUGGAACAGGUUCUGGUCAGAACCAACAAACCAAUGUGAUAACUAUGGAACGUGUGGAUCAAACAGUAAUUGUGACCCUUUGAACUUUGAGAACUUUAAGUGCACGUGUUUACUUGGUUUUGAACCAAAAUUUCCAAGCGAUUGGUAUGAGAGUAGAGAUGGGUCGGGAGGGUGUGUAAGGAAGAAAGGUGCAUCUGUCUGUGGGAAUGGCGAAGGGUUUAUCAAAGUUGUAAGCUUGAAAGUUCCUGAUAUAUCUGGGGCAGUUACCAUAGAUGGUUUGAGUUUGGAUGAAUGUGAGAAAGAAUGCUUGAGAAACUGCUCCUGUACUUCCUAUGCAGUAGCCGAUGUGAGGAAUGGUGGUAGUGGAUGUUUGGCAUGGCAUGGGGAUUUAAUGGACAUUCAAAAACUUAGUGAUCAAGGCCAAGAUUUAUAUUUGCGCGUCGAUAAAGUUGAACUUGGUAAGAUAUUCCCUCCUACUGUUUUUUUUCUUCUAAAUUUGACACCACUUAUGUGUAGUUUAAACUUCUCUGGACUUGUUUCUUCUUAUCAGCUAAUUACAACAAAAAAAGCAAAGGAGUCCUUGAUAAAAAGAGGUUGGCUGUAAUUAUGGUAGUUUCAAUAGUUGCAAUCGUCAUUCUCCUCUCUUGUGUGAAUUACAUGUGGAAGAAAAAAAGAAAGGGUAUGUGAUUGAUUUUUUAGGAUCAUAUCCCUUGUUCUCAUAUUAUUAGUAGUUGAAAUUUGAUUUUGAAUUACAAAAAGUGUCCUAUUUGUUUCUUCAGUUCGAACUAUUAUUUUUGAGGUAUUCAACUAUUACAUGUGCAAAACUAGAAAGAUGUAUAAUCUAGAAAUCAAAAUGUGUAAGUAGAUUGGAGUCUUACCGCAUGUUAUUUGUGACUUCAAAUAAAGUGAUGCAGCAAUCAAAAGAAGAUUACUCUGCAGAAGAGAAUGAUGCUCAAAGCACCACACAUCCAAAUCUACCCUUUUUCAGCCUUAAAACGAUAAUGUCAGCUACAAGAUAUUGCAGUCAUCAGAAUAAGCUUGGGAAAGGUGGAUUUGGCUCUGUUUAUAAGGUAAGUAAACCUCUACAUUGAGCUACUCAUGCAUGGGGCAACAUCCUUCUAGUGUUGCAAAAAUUAUGACAUAGGAUUUAAGAGAUAAAAAUUGCAGGGUUGCUUGGUUAAUGGACAAGAGAUAGCAGUGAAAAGAUUGUCCAAAGAAUCAGGUCAAGGCAAAGUAGAGUUUAAAAAUGAAAUUACACUUUUAGUUAAGCUCCAGCACAGAAAUCUAGUAAGGUUGCUUGGUUGUUGCUUCGAAAAAGAAGAAAGAAUGCUAGUUUAUGAAUACCUACCAAACAAAAGCCUAGACUUCUUUAUAUUCGGUAUGUCUCUCUGACUCACUCAUUGUCUCUCUAGCUUGAAUAAACCUGUGUUUAGCGUAUACUUCAUGUCCGGCGUGUGUUCUAUGGAGUCUCCAUGCUCGUCCGGCAUGCAGCAACAAAUCGUAGCUUCUUUAUUUUCACCAUGAGCUUGUUUUGGAACGCGGGGAUCUAAAAUCGAACAUAAAACCAAACAUAUACUUAGGCAAGCAUAAAAUGUAUAACUGCAUUGAGGAGGGAAAUCAGCAUAUUACAUGCAAGACUGCUUCUAAAAUAAAUGAGGUACUAGUAAUUCAUUGUGAAGACAGCUAAACAUGGGACAAGAAUGAAACUUAAUAUCUAUGUUUUGUCCUACUGAUUUAGUAUAGCCUAGUAAAAACUAAAAACUUAUCGAAGGGCAAAGAAGACUUUUUUAUCAGUCAAUUAUUACAAAGUUUUGAGUAGUCAAUUUUCAUAUAUCUCCUUGGAAUCAGCUUCUACCUUUCUUCAACUCAGAUGCCUAUAACUUAAGAGCAUAUGCUAGAUCUAGCCUAUAGCUACUCAAUGUAACAGAGUGAAACUUCAAAUAAUUGUGAACAUAAGACAUCAGUCCCAUUUUUUUGCUAAAAAUGCAAUUCGUGGCACAAGUUAAACCUAAUCCUAUUCUCUUUAGAAUGUCUAUUAGGAAUUUUGGCCUUAAAAAAUUAGGCUAUCAGGAUACCAUCAAAUUUGAGGCCUAUUCAUAGCCUCGUAUUCAUAUUUUAAAAUAAAGACAGGAAAUUUACAGUUGUUCCUUUACUCCUUACCAGACACAAAGAUAAUUGAUCCAACAUUUCAAUAAAUUCCUAUGAAAUUAAGCUCAAUACGCGAUUAAUGUUUGCUAAUAUGUUCAAUUUUUGUCAACUUAAACUAUUCAACUCAGAUCAAAACCAAAGGUCAUCAUUGGAUUGGGGUAAGCGUUUUGAAAUUAUUUGUGGCAUUGCUCGAGGUGUUUUAUAUCUUCACCAAGAUUCAAGGCUGAAAAUAAUUCAUAGAGAUCUAAAAGCCAGCAAUGUUCUCCUUGAUGCUGAAAUGAAUCCCAAAAUCUCAGAUUUCGGUAUGGCUAGAAUAUUUGGAGAAGAUGAAAUCCAAGCAAGAACAAAAAGAGUGGUCGGAACAUAGUAUGUCUCAAACACUUAUAAUCACGAAAUUAUACAGAUGGAUAUGUAUUUUUUAUGAUACUCUAACCAUUUUGUAUAAUUGCAGUGGAUACAUGUCACCCGAAUAUGCAAUGGAAGGACGAUAUUCAACAAAAUCUGAUGUCUUCAGUUAUGGGGUCUUACUACUGGAGAUUAUUGCUGGCAAGAGAAACACACAUUGUGAAAUUGGAAGAGACUCCCCAAAUUUAAUUGGACAUGUAAGUUAAAUAUAUUAAAAAGAGUAGCCUUAAAACAGGCCUACAAUCUAAUGAUAUAUAACAUAUGUAUAUUUAAAAACUCUUGUGCAUUUAUAGGUGUGGACUGUAUGGACAGAAGAAAGGGCCUUGGAUAUAGUUGAUGAAGCACUAAACCAGUCUUAUCCCCCUGCUAUAGUUCUGAGAUGCAUUCAAAUUGGACUCUUGUGUGUGCAAGAAAAUGCGAUGAAUAGACCAUCAAUGUUAGAAGUGGUUUUUAUGCUAGCCAAUGACACGCCUCUUUGCGCACCUCAAAAACCAGCAUUUUUAUUCAACGACGACAAAGAUUUGCAAGAGUCAUCAACGUCAGGAGGAGGAUCUUCAAUAAAUGAAGUAACUGAAACUACCAUCAUCGCUCGCUAAAAGCUACAUUAAUCAAAUAUGUAAAUUUUUUGUUCAUAGUUUUACAUCGGAAUUGAGUUUGUAGACAUUCCUAGAGGUUUUUGAGAAACAAGUAUCUGUUGUCACUCUGUGGUAUUGUAAAAUGAAUAAUUUGAGUAUGUCUCCAUUUCAAUAAGCUUAUUAAAUUGAGUCACAUUUGAUUUGUUUUUUUAACAUAGUGCUUUAGAAGUGGUCUUUGACACAAUAAGCUUAUUAAUUACGAUAGAAAUCUAAAUACUUACUAGGUUCCAAUGACAAUUUAUAAUUGCUUCAAUUUGAUUUGGGUUCAAUGCAGUCUCCAACAAGACAUUGCUGGCCUUUAGGUCAAUUGAUUUGCAAAUUCGAUGUAUGAAAAUAUAAAUAUAAAUGUUUUGGAAAUGGCAAUGCCAUAAAUCCAUAGGGACAGAUUAAGUACUAAUGCAGAAAGACUUGCGAUCCCUUCUUGAUCUUAUCAUCAAACAAGGAAAGAAACACAUCAAUAGGGUCAGGAAUCCUCCCACAGUGGCAAGUUUGAUUAUAAUUUAACUUACAUUUGUUUAACUUCCGAGAGAAUCAUAAGGAUAUUUUGUUUUGCCUGCAUAAAGUGAAUUCGAAACAUUCAAUGAAAAAAAAAAUUAAAAAUAAGAAUUCUGACAUUUAGCCAAAGGAAAGAAAUGCAGCUAAUUACGAAAAUAUACAGAUGGAUAUGUAUUUUUAUGAUACUCUAACCAUUUUGUUUAAUUGCAGUGGAUAUAUGUCACCAGAAUAUGCAAUGGAAGGACGAUAUUCAACGAAAUCUGAUGUCUUUAGUUAUGGGGUCUUACUGCUAGAGAUUAUUGCUGGUCAAAGAAACACACAUUGUGAAACAGGAAGAGCUUCCCCAAAUUUAAUUGGACAUGUAAGUUAUAAUAGAGGUAGCCUUAAAAUUAACAAUAAUUUAACGGUGCAAGAUGUACUUAUUAGAUUUUUGUGUUGUGCAUUUGUAGGUAUGGACACAGUGGACAGAAGGAAGAGCCUUGGAUAUAGUUGAUCCAGAACUAAACCAGUUUUAUCCCCCUUCUAUAGUUAUGAGAUGCAUUCAAAUUGGACUUCUGUGUGUGCAAGAAAAUGCAAUUAAUAGACCAUCAAUGUUGGAAGUUGUUUUCAUGCUAGCCAAUGCUACCAUCAGUGCUCGUUAAAAGCUUCCUUAAUAGUACAAUGAAAUAAGUAUGUGUACUAUUUGGUAUUAUAAAAUGAAAUGAUUUGAGUAUGUGUCUAUUAAAAUCAAUUUAUCAGUUGGAAUUUUAACAGUGCAUUAGCAAGAAAAAAAAGCAAUUUAUGAUCCUUAACAAAUAAACUUAGUUAGGCUAAAUUAUACCUUUUGUAAGUUAGUUUUAAGAUUCACUUUAGUUUUUAAGUUUUUUUCGUUUUACUUUGGUCCUUUUACAAUGUUUUAUAUACACUUUGGUCUCUUAAGUUACUAAUGUUAGACAUUUUGGUCACUUUUAUCGGUGUACAAUGUUUAUCCAAGAGUACUUGGAUGAGAUGGUAAAGGACCUCUUAUAACUUAACCAUAGGCUCUAGGUUCUAAUCAAGCCAUGGGCAUGCAUCAGUGUUUAAUCACUUGAAGAAGAAUUAUGCCGGCCAUUACAGUCCUUCCUAGUUCGAGGAAUUAGUUUAUGUAGUUGCGCGUAGAGGAUAUUUGAUUCACAACAAAAACAUUAGAAGCUCAAGCGAGGAUCCUUGUCAUAUUUUAUAUUAGAUCAACUAUUAUUUUUCAUUUUGAUUAUCUUCUAUAUUUUAGAUAUGUUUUUGUGUUACUUUUGUAUGCUGAUUAUAUUUUUUCUCAUCUCUAUAUUAAUUGACAAUGUAUAGCUAACGUAAUAUUAUUAAAUUAUUACUCUAAUAAUGUCAAAUAAUAUUUGAUUUUAGAUUGGUAGGCAUGAUAGUUGGUUUAAGUAAAAAAAAUAAUUGUCUAAAAUCAAAGGCAACGUUUUAAAACGUACUCUUUGAUUACAACGAUGGCGUUGGCUAUCAUAAACAACAACGGUUUAAAGUAUUGUUUCAGAGUGAUUUAAAAUCUGUUGUCUACAGUAUAACAAUAACUAUGUUCUGUGUUGUCUAUGGUUUGUAAACGCCGUGGUCGUAGGAAUAGACAAUACUGCAGACUAAUGGGAACAAAAAAUUGUAGUCAAAAGAAAAGAAAACAUUUAUUUUACUUUGACAACCUUUCUAAAUUUUGUUGCAUAUCAAAAAAGUUUUUAUUUUUAUUUUUGGGUGGGUCGUGGCCCACCUAAACCCUAAAGAAGCUCAGUCCCUAUUUAUCACUUUACCCUUUAACUCUUUCACCUAAGACUCCAAUUCAACCUUAUAUCCCUCAAGAAGGUUAUUGCACUUUACUCGUUUUAUCAAUGGUGUUAUUUAAUUUAAGCUUGACACAUACGUUUAACAGAGUCUCUCAAUUCAAUACUUAUGAAAAACGUUAUACAAGAAGUCAAGAACUAAGUCAACUAAGACUCUAUUCAUUGACCUUCAAUUUGCAAGGAAGUUUAUAAUUUCUUACAUUUCACUGUAACUCUCCAUGACCCACUGUGGUGUAUUGCCAAUUGUAAAUGGGUCAAUCUUUGUGUCUGUAAAGUUACUUUUAAAAGCAUAUUCUACCCACUUGCAUGUAUGAAAAGCAUAAUCAUUCUGUUAUUCAUUUCCUAACUACUUCCUAGUUGAUUCAUUUCUUCAUUGAUUUUUGUUUUAACACUUUCAGGAAAGAGAAUUAACGUGUCCAAAGUUUAGUUUAGUGUAUGACUUAGUCAAGUCAUGUGAAUAUAUGUUUUUUUAUUUAAAUAAAGUUAUGUGAAUAUAUGUUGUUGAACAGUAAAAUCUGUGUCUGUUUGAGUAUUUCUAUUUUCUCCUAAUAAAAUGAAAAUGAGGUAUGAAAGAGGAACUGAUCAAUGGAGUCUCUUGAAAAUCUUCUCUGCAAGAUGCUGGUUUUGCAUAUCUAUUUUCUACUCCUCACAUUCUCUUUUUGCUCUUGUUCUUCUGAUACCAUAUCUAUCGACAAAACCUUAAGAGAUGGUGAACUUCUUGUUUCUAAAUCUAAAACCUUUGCUCUUGGAUUCUUCACUCCAGGAAAGUCCGCCUCUCGCUAUGUUGGAAUUUGGUACUACAAUUUGCCAAUCCAAACUGUUGUUUGGGUUGCAAACAGAGAUGCUCCCAUCAAUGACACUUCUGGGAUUUUAUCCAUUGACCCAAAUGGAAAUCUAGUAAUUCACCACAACCAUAGCACCAUUCCCAUUUGGUCUACCGAUGUUUCAUUUCCACAAUCACAAAGAAAUAGCACCAAUGCUGUUAUAGCGAAAUUAUCAGACAUAGCAAACCUUGUUCUGAUGAUAAACAACACAAAAACUGUCAUCUGGGAAAGCUUUGAUCAUCCCACAGACACCUUGCUUCCAUAUCUAAAGAUAGGGUUUAAUAGAAAAACUAAUCAAAGCUGGUUCCUUCAAUCCUGGAAGACAGAUGAUGACCCUGGAAAAGGUGCGUUCACGGUGGAAUUCAGCACCAUUGGUAAACCUCAGUUGUUUAUGUACAACCAUAACCUUCCAUGGUGGCGUGCUGGACAUUGGAAUGGAGAACUGUUUGCAGGUGUACCUAAUAUGAAACGAGAUAUGGAAACUUUUAACGUUUCUUUUGUGGAAGAUGAAAACUCCGUAGCAAUCUCAUAUAACAUGUUUGAUAAGUCUGUCAUCGCUAGGAAAGUUGUUAAUCAAUCUGGUUUCUUUCAAAUAUUCACGUGGGGGAAUGAAAAGAAUCAAUGGAACCGGUUCUAUUCAGAACCAACAGACCAAUGUGAUAACUAUGGAACAUGUGGAUCAAACAGUAAUUGUGACCCUUUUAACUUUGACGACUUUAAGUGCACUUGUUUACUUGGUUUUGAACCAAAAUUUCCACGUGAUUGGUAUGAGAGUAGAGAUGGGUCGGGAGGGUGUGUAAGGAAGAAAGGUGCAUCUAUUUGUGGGAAUGGAGAAGGGUUUAUAAAAGUUGUAAGUGUGAAAGUUGCUGAUAUAUCUGGAGCAGUUGCCAUAGAUGGUUUGAGUUUGGAAGAAUGUGAGAAAGAAUGCUUGAGAAAUUGCUCUUGUACUGCCUAUGCAGUUGCUGAUGUGAGGAAUGGUGGUAGUGGAUGUUUGGCAUGGCAUGGGGAUUUAAUGGACAUUCAAAAACUUAGUAGUGAUCAAGGCCAAGAUUUAUUUUUACGCGUCGAUAAAGUUGAACUAGGUAAGAUAUCCCCUCCUACUGUUUUUUUCUUCUAAAUUUGACAGCACUUAUGUAUAGUUUAAACUUAUUUGGACUUGUAUCUUUAUAUCAGCUAAUUACAACAAAAAAAGCAAAGGAGCACUUGACAAAAAGAGGUUGGCUGCAAUUCUGGUAGCUUCUAUUGUUGCAAUUGUCAUCCUCCUCUCCUGUGUAAAUUACAUGUGGAAGAAAAAAACAAAGGGUAUGCGAUUUUUUUUUUAACAAGCCAAAAUGAAUUAUAUUAAUAAUAAAAAGUGUUUCUCAUAACACAAGAUGUAAUUUGGCUCUGACUUAUAAAAUGUGUCAUAUCAAGUAAGAAAGAAAUACACCACAUAUUGACUCAUGUAUCAUAAUUCUAAAGCAUUAGCAUUACAAGUCUUGCUACUCUUACCUAAAUAGUACCAAGUAAUUUUUCCCUGUCACAAGCCACAUUCACAUAUGUUUUACAGCAACUGUUGAUAUUAACCAUUGUUUUCCAUUUCUAAAAUUAACAAACAAUGUUUUUGUGUUGCUAUGAUUGUACUGCUACAACCUUGAGAGUCACCACAACAACAAUUCACCACUGCCGCAGAGCAGCAACCCGCAUGUUCCUCCAUUACAAACUCACUUCAACAUCAGAAAAGCCUAAAUAUCAUUAAAAAUCAGCAGUUAGAGCCAAAAGGUUAUUUGCAAAACAGCCUCAAUUUAUGCCAAAUUCUUUUGUCAUUUGGAUAUAAUGUGUGUGCCAAUCCAGACUAAGUAUUUUAUUAGCAGUUCGAACCAAGUUUUGUUAAGUUUUGGUCUAUCAAUGUUAGACAAACAAUCACUCCAAAUUUCCUUAUCAACUGCUAAUAAUGUUUUAAUUGAAUAUUAUUAUUAGUAUUAUUGUUUCUAGGGUUAAUGGUGCUUUACCCCCUGUAAUAUAGGUCAUUUUUAGUUUUCCCCCUGUAAAAUUUUUUUUUUUUAUUUACCCCCCUGUAAAAUAUCUUUAUUUUUUUUUUGCAGAAUUUUUUCGUUUUUUUAUGACCUAUUAGGGAGGUAUUCCAAAAAAAAAAAAAUUUUACAGAGGUGUAAAUCAAAAAAUAUAUUUUACAGGGGAAAAACCAAAAAUGACCUAUAUUACAGGGGGUAAAGCACCAUUAACCCUUAUUUCUAUUAUUACUAUUGAGCUAUCAUUGUGCAAAACUAGCAAAAUGUAUAAUCUAAGAUUUUUUAUCUUACCUCAUGUCAUUUGUAACUUUAGAUAAAAUGAUGCGGCAAAUAAACCAUGACUCCUCAGUAGAAGAGAAUGGUGCUCCAAACAACAGACAUCCAAAUCUACCCUUUUUCAGCUUUAAAACGAUAAUGACAGCUACAAAAAAUUGUGAUCAUAAGAAUAAGCUUGGACAAGGUGGAUUUGGCUCUGUCUACAAGGUGAGUGAAACUCUACAUUAAGCUACUGAUGCAAGAAGUGACAACAUCAGUCACCUCUUUAUAUUCAUUUCAAUCACAUUAUUAAAAAAUGGUGCAAAAAUAAUGAAAUAUGAUUUAAGAGAUAAAUAUUUCAGGGUUGCUUGGUUAAUGGACAAGAGAUUGCAGUUAAAAGAUUGUCCAGAGAUUCUGGUCAAGGCAAAGUAGAGUUUAAAAAUGAAAUUACACUUUUAGUUAAACUCCAACACAGAAAUCUAGUGAGGUUGCUCGGUUGUUGCUUUGAAAAAGAAGAAAGGAUGUUAGUUUAUGAAUACCUACCAAACAAAAGCCUAGACUUCUUUAUAUUCGGUAUGUCUCUCUCUGACUCACUCAUUGUCUUUCUGACCUGAAUAAACUUGUAUGUAUACAAGCCUAAAGCGUAGUGACUUAAUGUAACAUGUAACGCUCGAGCUUAUGCUAAUUCUGGCUUAUAGAUACUUAAUGUAACCUAUUUCCUAAAAAAAACUCCUAAAUGCAACAAAUUCAAACUUCACAUAAUUGUAAACAAUUAACAUUAGUUAAAUUUUUUACAGGUCAAACCUAUUUCUAUUCUCUUAAAAAUAUCUAUUACAAAUUUAGGCCUUCAACAUUAAGCAGGACAUAUCAUCAAACUUCAUGCCUCUCACUAACACUAAGUUGACCAUUGUCCUACUUAUAGCCUUGUAUACAUGUUUUAAAAUAAUUACAAGAAAUUUGAAGAUGUGCCUAUACUCUUUGUCAGGCACAAGAUGAUUAAUGAUCCGACAUAUUAUCUAAUUUCCCAUACUCAUUGACAGUUUCCUAAACUCUAAUACUCAUUGAUAUUUUGAUAAGUUUCUAUAAAGUUAAGCUCGAUUUGCAGUUAACUUUUCUUAAUAUGUUCUAUAUUUGUAAACUUAAACUGUUCAACUCAGAUCAAAACCAAAGGUCAUCAUUGGAUUGGGUAAAGCGUUUUGAAAUCAUUUGUGGGAUUGCUCGAGGUGUUUUAUAUCUUCACCAAGAUUCAAGGCUGAAAAUAAUUCAUAGAGAUCUAAAAGCCAGCAAUGUUCUCCUUGACGCUGCAAUGAAUCCCAAAAUCUCAGAUUUUGGUAUGGCUAGAAUAUUUGGAGAAGAUGAAAUCCAAGCAAGAACAAAAAGAGUGGUCGGAACAUAGUAUGUGUCACACACUUAUAUCACGAAAAUAUACAGAUGGAUAUGUAUUUUUAUGAUACUCUAACCAUUUUGUUUAAUUGCAGUGGAUAUAUGUCACCAGAAUAUGCAAUGGAAGGACGAUAUUCAACAAAAUCUGAUGUCUUCAGUUAUGGGGUCUUACUACUGGAGAUUAUUGCUGGCAAGAGAAACACACAUUGUGAAAUUGGAAGAGACUCCCCAAAUUUAAUUGGACAUGUAAGUUACAUAUAAUAAAAAGAGUAGCCUUAAAAUUGGCCAACAAUCUAAUGAUGCAUGACAUGACAUAUUUAUUUAAAAAUUGUGUUGUGCAUUUAUAGGUGUGGACACUAUGGACAGAAGAAAGAGCCUUGGAUAUUGUUGAUCCAGCACUAAACCAGUCUUAUCCUCUUGAUAUAGUUCUGAGAUGCAUUCAAAUUGGACUUUUGUGUGUGCAAGAAAAUGCAAUUAAUAGACCAUCAAUGUUAGAAAUUGUUUUCAUGCUAUGCAAUGAAACACCUCUCUGCCCACCUCAAAAACCAGCAUUUUAUUCAAUGGCAACCAUGAAUUGCAAGAACCAUCAACAUCAGGAUCUUCAAUAAAUGAAGUAACAGAAACUACUAUCAGUGCUCGCUAAAAGAUACCUUAAUCAAAUAUGUAAAUUUUUGGUUUAUACUUUCACCUUGAAAUUUAGUUUGUAGACAUUUCUAGAGGUUCUUGAGAAACAAGUAAGUCACGUUAUGGUAUUGCAAAAGAGUGGUGAUAUUUGAACAACUAUUUGAUACAACUUUUGUGACAAUUUCUUUUUUUUCUCUUUUCAUUAGUUAAAAACAAUGGAGAGAGAAAAAGAAGAGAGAGAAUAAGAGUAUAAUGUGAGUNAACCCUAAUUUAAUGUCUUUAGUCAUUUUUUACAUAUUUUAAUUUUAUUUUGGGUUGUUUCAUUUAAUAAUAGGGUUUAAAACUACAUGUUCAUGAAAUUGUGCAUAAAAAAUAGCGAAAAAUAUGUAUUCAAUUUUUUAUUAUAUUAAAAUAGACCCAUAAUACAAUUUUUUGCGAAGUGUGUUAGAUUAUUAUUAUUUUUGCUAGAUUAUUAGAACUAAAAACAAUAUUGAGGGAGUAAAGUGUAGAUUUUAUUAUAAGAGGGGAGAGGAAUGUAAUUCAAGCUUGGGGAGGGGUGUGUAAAAUUUUCUGAUAUGUUUUGAAUAAGAGGGGAGGGGAUUGUGUAUUUUAUGAUAAGAGGGGAGGGGGGGUGUAAUUUACUCUUAUAAUUUUCACCUCUCAAGAAAAAAAGUUUAUAAUUUACAGUUAAUUUUCACCUUUUUUUUUUUUUUGAAGGAAGUUAAUUUUCACUUAACUCGGUUAAAGAAUACUCCCUCCGUUCCUUUUUAAGUGUCACUUUUGGAGAAAAUUUUUGUUCCUAUUUAAUUGUAAUUUUCAAAGUUCAAUGCAACAUUAAAUGUUGUUUUAACAAUAUUCUCUUUAGUUAUUUAUAGCGGAGAGAGAAAUAUAUGAAAUGAGAUAUUGAAUUAAUAAGGUCAUUAUAGUAAAAGUAUAGCUUAUUGCAUCAAAAGUAGUAUCAAAUGUUUAUUGUCUUGGUUUGUGUAAAAUGUCAAAAUGUGACAAUUAAAAAGUAAAAUGUCAAAAUAUGACAAUUAAAAAGGAACGGAGGUAGUAAUUAUUAACAAAAAAAUUAAUUGCAAAAAUACUCAUACCUUCUCAGUCGAGAUCCAAGCUGUGUUGUGUUUAGUGUUCCCUCCACUCUCUUUUUUGUUGGCGAAUCUUCAUUAGAAUUUCCAAUGUUCAAGUACGGGUUGCAACCAAGUGGAACACCAUGUUCUCUCGACACGACGCGUGCUGCAAGAUAGAGAAUACGCCGGCGACUGAUACUUCCCUCGCCGCACAUUUCCUUCACAAAGAACGAAGCACCGGUAAUCACAGCUUGACAGGUUAGUGUUUGUAGUUCGUUCAAUCGGCAAGGGUAUUAUGGUAAACUACAACUAUAUAACGGGACAAACGGUCAUUUCGGUAGCUAAAUGUGUAAGAAUAACCAAAAUAGUCUCAUUCAAAUAGUCCUUCAAUACUCACAUUAACUCUUUAUAUAGGACCUAUAAAGCACGGACACUCCUUACCUUAGACGUGUCCCGGUGUAGGACAUGUGUCGUGUACUCGUGUUCGACACCGACACCUAUAAUUACACUAAAUUAUGUGACUUUUUCAAUUAUUAAUGGUGUCGGCGUGUCUGGAUCCGUGUUUGUAUCCGUACUUUAUAGUAUAGGACUGAAAUGACAAUGAGUAAGUAGUUUUACGGACCGAUAAAACAAUAAGUAAGUAUAUUGAAGGACUAAUAUGACAAUAUUAACCAGUUAUUUUAAUCUCAAGACUAUUUUGACUAAGGAAGUGUGCAAUUUAAGAUUAUAUUAAAAUUUUGAUACGUUGAGAGACUACUAUGGCUACUUGUUACAUAUUCGGGGAUUGGUCGCUUGUAGUGCUAAUCAUGAUAAACAAUUAUAGCAAAAUAUAAAUGAAAGUUAGUUUGUUUUAGUAUAUGUUAUAAGCUGUUUUAUUAAGCUAUGGUUGAAAACUUAUAAAAGUAAGACUAAAAAAGCUUAUGAAAUAUAGACCCUGCUCGAUUACCGAUUUCAUUUUGCUAUCCGUUUUGGUAAGGCCUUGAAUUUGCCAGGAAAUUUACCAUCGCUUAUACAUGUCACUGUAACGACGGACCAUGAGUCCAUGACCCAUUGAGGUACGUAGCUAACUGCCAAGCUCAACUUGCAUGCAUAAAAAGCAUCCUUUAUUAGAUACUUACGGGUCAAUCUUUGUGUCUGUGUAGUCAAAUACUGCUCACUUGCAUGCAUAAAAAGCGUCCUUGUUUAUGCUUCUUAAUUAGCAUGUACUAUUUGGAAAUCAAAAUUACCAACGUGAAAACCCAUGUUUGAUCAGAAACCAUAUAAUUAUUUACCUUCUUAUGAACACAUGUUUAUUGUCUUACCACCGUGUUCUCAAACACACAAUUAAUCAUGUUGAGUUGUAUUCAAUUUAAAUGAGAAUCAUCGACCCAAUAAUUUUUUCAUAAUGAGGCCUAAAAAAAUUAUAAUAUAUCAUAUAUUUUUUUGUCUACAGCCCUUUUAUUUAUAAACUAUAAUAAAAAUUAUUAAUCUUUUGUUGAUAGACCUAAAACGAGGAUUUUAGUUUCCUAUCUACUUACCUGUGGUUACUUUUCUUCAUUGAUUUUAUUUUCCCACUUUCUCAUGUGUCAGUGUCACUGACCCAUUGUGUGGAAAAUAUAACAAAGCAUCAUCAUGUCCUGUUGAGCAGGGGUACAAUUUUGUUUCAGUUAGAAUAGUUCAAUUAUCUCUUCAUGAAAUGCAAGAGGGGUAUGAUAGAAAAACUCAAUGGACUCUGCUAAAAAUCUUCUCUACCUUAGCACAGUCGAAAAUCAUAAAAACAAAUUGUUAGUGUUAGAUUACUCUUUGAUUCUACUAUGUCUCACCUUAUCUUUUUGCCCUUGUUCUUCUGAUACCAUAACUAUUCACAAACCCAUAAGAGAUGGUGAACUUCUCAUUUCUAAAUCUAAAACAUUUGCUCUUGGAUUCUUCACUCCAGGAAAGUCCACCUCUCGCUAUGUUGGAAUCUGGUACAACAAUUUGCCGAUCCAAACUGUUGUUUGGGUUGCAAAUAGAGAUGCUCCCAUCAAUGACACUUCUGGAAUUCUAUCAAUCAACCAAAAUGGGAAUCUAGAACUCCACCACAACCUUAGCACCAUUCCCAUUUGGUCUACCAAUGUUUCAUUAACACAGUCACAAAGAAAUAACACCAAUGUUAUAGCUCAACUAUUGGAUAUAGGAAACCUUGUUCUGAGGUUAAACGACACCGAAACUGCCAUCUGGGAAAGCUUUGAUCAUCCCACAGACACAAUGCUUCCGUAUCAAAAGAUUGGUUUUGAUAGAAAAAUUAAUCAAAGUUGGGUCCUUCAAUCCUGGAAGACAGAUGAUGACCCUGGAAAAGGUGCGUUCACGGUGAAAUUCAGCACCAUUGGCAAACCACAAUUGUUUAUGUACAACCAUGAUCGUCCUUGGUGGCGUGGUGGACAUUGGAAUGGAGCAAUAUUAGUAGGCCUACCUCAUAUGAUAGGAGAUAUGGCAGUUCGUAAUGUUUCUUGGGUUGAAGAUGACAACUAUGUAUCACUCUCAUAUAACAUGUUUAAUAAGUCUGUCAUUACAAGGAUAGUGGUUCAGCAAUCUGGUUUCUUUCAAACAUUCAUGUGGGACAGUCAAGAGAGUCAAUGGAGCCGGUACUGGUCUGAACCAACAGACCAAUGUGCUAACUACGGAACAUGUGGACCAAACAGUAAUUGUGACCCUUUGAACUUUGAGAGCUUUAAGUGUACUUGUUUACUUGGUUUUGAACCAAAAUUUCCACGUGAUUGGUAUGAGAGUAGAGAUGGGUUGGGAGGAUGUGUAAGAAAAAGAGGUGCAUCUGUUUGUGGGAAUGGAGAAGGGUUUAACAAAGUUUUAAGGGUGAAAGUUCCUGAUAUAUCUGGGGCAGUUGCCAUAGAUGGUUUGACUUUGGAAGAAUGUGAGAAAGAUUGCUUGAGAAACUGUUCUUGUAAUGCCUAUGCAGUUGCUGAUGUGAGGAAUGGUGGUAGUGGAUGUUUGACGUGGCAUGGGAAUUUAAUGGACAUUCAAAAACUUAGUAAUCAGGGCCAAGAUUUAUUUUUGCGCGUCGAGAAAGUUGAACUUGGUAAGAUAUUCCCUCCUACUGUUUUUUUUUUUUUUUGUUUAUAAAUUUGACACCACUUUUAAGUGUAGUUUAAACUUCUUUGGACUUGUUUUUUCUUAUCAGCUAAUUACAACAAAAAAAGCAAAGGAGUCCUUGAUAAAAAGAGGUUAGCUGCAAUUCUUGUAGCUUCUAUAGUUGCAAUUGUCAUCCUCCUCUUCUGUGUGAAUUACAUGUGGAAGAAAAAGAGAAAGGGNCCAAGAUUCAAGGCUGAAAAUAAUUCAUAGAGAUCUAAAAGCCAGCAAUGUUCUCCUUGACGCUGCAAUGAAUCCCAAAAUCUCAGAUUUUGGUAUGGCUAGAAUAUUUGGAGAAGAUGAAAUCCAAGCAAGAACAAAAAGAGUGGUCGGAACAUAGUAUGUGUCACACACUUAUAUCACGAAAAUAUACAGAUGGAUAUGUAUUUUUAUGAUACUCUAACCAUUUUGUUUAAUUGCAGUGGAUAUAUGUCACCAGAAUAUGCAAUGGAAGGACGAUAUUCAACAAAAUCUGAUGUCUUCAGUUAUGGGGUCUUACUACUGGAGAUUAUUGCUGGCAAGAGAAACACACAUUGUGAAAUUGGAAGAGACUCCCCAAAUUUAAUUGGACAUGUAAGUUACAUAUAAUAAAAAGAGUAGCCUUAAAAUUGGCCAACAAUCUAAUGAUGCAUGACAUGACAUAUUUAUUUAAAAAUUGUGUUGUGCAUUUAUAGGUGUGGACACUAUGGACAGAAGAAAGAGCCUUGGAUAUUGUUGAUCCAGCACUAAACCAGUCUUAUCCUCUUGAUAUAGUUCUGAGAUGCAUUCAAAUUGGACUUUUGUGUGUGCAAGAAAAUGCAAUUAAUAGACCAUCAAUGUUAGAAAUUGUUUUCAUGCUAUGCAAUGAAACACCUCUCUGCCCACCUCAAAAACCAGCAUUUUAUUCAAUGGCAACCAUGAAUUGCAAGAACCAUCAACAUCAGGAUCUUCAAUAAAUGAAGUAACAGAAACUACUAUCAGUGCUCGCUAAAAGAUACCUUAAUCAAAUAUGUAAAUUUUUGGUUUAUACUUUCACCUUGAAAUUUAGUUUGUAGACAUUUCUAGAGGUUCUUGAGAAACAAGUAAGUCACGUUAUGGUAUUGCAAAAGAGUGGUGAUAUUUGAACAACUAUUUGAUACAACUUUUGUGACAAUUUCUUUUUUUUCUCUUUUCAUUAGUUAAAAACAAUGGAGAGAGAAAAAGAAGAGAGAGAAUAAGAGUAUAAUGUGAGUAUGAGAGAGAAAAUUAUCAUAAAGUGGUUGUAUAAAUAUCAUUUCUCACUGUAAAAUGAAUAAUUUGAGUAUGUCUCCAUUUCAAUAAGCUUAUCGGUUAGAAGUAAUAUACAGAAAUAUAGCUGUUCAAUAGUAGUAGAGAUAGGUACAACAACUAGCGUAAACAAACGAUCGUGUUUCAUUGUCUUGGGAAAUUCUAAAGGUAAUUAAUUACUCAUAGUGAAUCCACUUAAAAAAAUCAAAUGGUUCAAUCGUUGUCAUUCAAUAUUAAAAACUAAUUAAUAAAUACUUCUAUUGCAAAUAUAGUCAUUAUAAAAAAAAACAAACUAAAAAUUAUAUGGCUUAAUUGCACUUUUUGCACCCUAUCUUUUCAAAAGUUGCGAUUUUGGCCCUCUAACUAAUUAAAAUACAAAACAGCCCCCUAUUUAUUGAAUCUUUGGCAGUUUUGGCCCCCAAAGUCACUUUUAACUUAGUCUGCGCUGACGUGGCACCCAUAUCCCUUAAGUGAGGUGCCACGUGUCGACCAUUGUGGGUGCCACGUCAGCGAAGACUAAGUCAAACGUGGUCUUGGAGACCAAAACUGCAAAAGAUUCAAUACAUAUGGGUUGUUUUGUAUUUUAAUUAGUUAGGGGUGAAAAUCGCAACUUUUGGAAAGAUAGGGGGCCAAAAGUGCAAUUAAGCCAAAUUAUAUUUCACAUAGGAAAGAGUUUAAAUAUAAACCAACCGCGUAAAUAUGUUUUACACUGUCGUUCAAAAAGAAACCAUCGUAUUGUCAUGUAUGUAUAUUUAUAACCAAUUUUUCAAAAAUAAGUUAAAUAUAUUUUCCGUCCAGACAAAAAAGAAUUGCACGGAAAUUUGGACCCUACUCUUAAUUCAACAUAUAUUUUGAUUGACUUUUUUUGCUAACAUGUUUAAAAUAUUAUAAAAAGUUCCUAUAAAAAUAUGAGCUUAAAAAUUGAUUUCUAGGUCGAGAUUUGUAUUACUUUUAUUAUGAAUUUUUGACGUUUCAUAAUCAUAUUUAAUUCAUUUGAUGUUAAAAAAAUUUAGAUGAAUAUUUUAUAAUACACAUCCAAAAAAAAAAUUCAAAAAUUUAGUUUUUGAAAAAAUAAAACUGCAAGUAGGAGUACUCAUGAACAUAGCUCGAUUGGUAAGAAUAUUGCAUAAUAUAUACAAGAGUCGGAGUUCAAAGCUCUAACACCUUACUUAUUCACCUUAUAAGAGAAUUUCUAGCCACCAAACUAUUUAAAAAAAAAAAAAAAACUGCUAGAAAAUUUGUUUAGAAAUGAAAAUGUGCCGCAUGUAAAAAUCUUAAAACAAAAACAUAUGGGUCAAUGCUAAUCUAAACAUGUUUAGAAUAUAUGAUAGGGUCUCGCUAACUAGAGCAUUUGUUAAAGAUACAAAAAUAGAAAUAAUAAGUAAAAAAAUUUUUUUUUUAAGUUUUAAUAUAUUGAAUCCACUAUUUUCAAGAUAAAUUUUUUUCUUUAAACUUCUUAACAAAUGCGCACUUGUUAGCAUUUGACAAUUUAUGAAGAAGAAAAAUGAAAACUUGACAAAUUCGAUGGAAAAAUUUUAUAUUUAACUCUUAAACCCCAAUCUAAAAUCCUCUAAAAAAAUCCCAAUAUAAAAUGGUUUAUAGUUUUUUUUUUACCAUGUAUACUUUUUUUUGAAGAAUUUCACUUAACUCUGAAAAAAUAAUUAUUAACAAAAUUAUAAUUGCAAAAACACUCAUACCUUCUAAGUCAACAAUAUCCAAGAGUGUUCUCUCCACUCUCGCUUCUGUUGGUUGAAUCAUCAUUAGAACUUCUCCAUGUAUCGUACCUCAAGCCAUUCCCAAUGUUCAGGUACGGGUUGCAACCAAGUGGAACACCAUGUUCUCUGGACACGACGCGUGUGCUGCAAGACAGAGAAUACGCCGGCGACUGAUACUUCCCUCGCCGCACAUUUCCUUCACAAAGAACGAAGCACCGCUGGUAAUCACAGUUUCACAAGUUAGUGUUUGCACAAGGGUAAUAUGGUAAACUUCAAAUAAAUAAUAUAUAUUUAAUUUUAGAGCUUGUAUAAAACAGCUUAUGCACAUUGCUAACUGUAGUCUGCAACGACAGACCAUGACCCAUAUUGAGGUACAUUGCUAACUGCCAAGCUUAACAUGCAUGCAUAAAAAGCCUCCUUUAUUAUUAGAUUAGAUACUUACGGGUCAAAUGCAUGCAUCAAAAGCGUCCUUGUUUAUGCUUCUUAGCAUGUAGUACUAUUUUGGAAAUCAAAAUUACCAACAUGAAAACUCAUGUUUGACCAGAAACAAUAGUAAUUAUUUACCUUCUUAUGAACACAUGUUUAUUGUCUUACCACCGUGUUGAGUUGUAUUCAAUUGAAAUGAGAAUCAUCGACCUAAUAAUUUUUCAUAAUGAGGCCUAAUACAAAUUUUAAUAUAUCAUAUAUUUUUUUGUCUACAGCCCUUUUAUUUAUAAACUAUAAUAAAAAUUAUUAAUCUUUUGUUGAUAGACCUAAAACGAGGAUUUUAGUUUCCUAUCUACUUACCUGUGGUUACUUUUCUUCAUUGAUUUUAUUUUCCCACUUUCUCAUGUGUCAGUGUCACUGACCCAUUGUGUGGAAAAUAUAACAAAGCAUCAUCAUGUCCUGUUGAGCAGGGGUACAAUUUUGUUUCAGUUAGAAUAGUUCAAUUAUCUCUUCAUGAAAUGCAAGAGGGGUAUGAUAGAAAAACUCAAUGGACUCUGCUAAAAAUCUUCUCUACCUUAGCACAGUCGAAAAUCAUAAAAACAAAUUGUUAGUGUUAGAUUACUCUUUGAUUCUACUAUGUCUCACCUUAUCUUUUUGCCCUUGUUCUUCUGAUACCAUAACUAUUCACAAACCCAUAAGAGAUGGUGAACUUCUCAUUUCUAAAUCUAAAACAUUUGCUCUUGGAUUCUUCACUCCAGGAAAGUCCACCUCUCGCUAUGUUGGAAUCUGGUACAACAAUUUGCCGAUCCAAACUGUUGUUUGGGUUGCAAAUAGAGAUGCUCCCAUCAAUGACACUUCUGGAAUUCUAUCAAUCAACCAAAAUGGGAAUCUAGAACUCCACCACAACCUUAGCACCAUUCCCAUUUGGUCUACCAAUGUUUCAUUAACACAGUCACAAAGAAAUAACACCAAUGUUAUAGCUCAACUAUUGGAUAUAGGAAAC